rnacentral:rRNA from 1 species
UACAGAGGGUGCGAGCGUUGUUCGGAUUUACUGGGCGUAAAGGGCGCGUAGGCGGCCAGCACAAGUCAGUUGUGAAAUCUCCGAGCUUAACUCGGAAAGGUCAACUGAUACUGUGCGGCUAGAGUGCAGAAGGGGCAACUGGAAUUCUUGGUGUAGCGGUGAAAUGCGCAGAUAUCAGGAGGAACACCGGUGGCGAAGGCGGGUCUCUGGGCCGUAACUGACGCUGAGGAGCGAAAGCGUGGGGAGCGAACAGG